AUAUUCCUUCGGGGUCGGGUGAAAUUCCCAACCGGCGGUGAUGGGCCCAUGCCCUAAGUCCGUGACCCGGGCGCACGUGUGCGAACGGUGGAUCUAGUGAGACUCUAGAGCCGACAGUAUAGUCUGGAUGGGAGAAGGAACAA
rfam:Exiguobacterium sp. AT1b, complete genome.